rnacentral:rRNA from 1 species
GAUGAACGCUGGCGGCGUGCCUAAUACAUGCAAGUCGAGCGAACAGACGAGGAGCUUGCUCCUCUGACGUUAGCGGCGGACGGGUGAGUAACACGUGGAUAACCUACCUAUAAGACUGGGAUAACUUCGGGAAACCGGAGCUAAUACCGGAUAAUAUAUUGAACCGCAUGGUUCAAUAGUGAAAGACGGUUUUGCUGUCACUUAUAGAUGGAUCCGCGCCGCAUUAGCUAGUUGGUAAGGUAACGGCUUACCAAGGCGACGAUGCGUAGCCGACCUGAGAGGUGGAUAGGCCACACUGGAACUGAGACACGGUCCAGACUCCUACGGGAGGCAGCAGUAGGGAAUCUUCCGCAAUGGGCGAAAGCCUGACGGAGCAACGCCGCGUGAGUGAUGAAGGUCUUCGGAUCGUAAAACUCUGUUAUUAGGGAAGAACAAAUGUGUAAGUAACUAUGCACGUCUUGACGGUACCUAAUCAGAAAGCCACGGCUAACUACGUG